GCGCUAGGGGUGCGAAUGCUGAGAUUUCGGUCAAGACCGAUGACCCUCAACACCUGAUCCGGAUAAUACCGGCGAAGGGAAGCGGC
rnacentral:ncRNA from 1 species